CCGUGAAGGGUAGUGCUAUCUAUCAGCUAUGGGCAGGACUAGAGACUGGCUUUAUGAUCUGGCCGGAAGUGUUAAGUGUCCAGGCUGAAGUUGGGCAGCAAGCAAUACAGUGUGGGCUGUGGGGUCCCUGGCCUGGUCUGUCCGUGCUAAGAGCUGCCUGCCCUGCUUCUCCACCUAUCCAACUGGAUUCUUAAGUUUGGGCCCUUAGAACAUUCACCACUUAGCCACAGCUAAGGCUGAGGGCAGAGCUGAAUUUUAAAUUGAUGUCAUUUUUUUCUUUUUUAAUGGCCAGGAAGCUAAUACAAAUUUUGCUGAGGAGAGAGACAUAAAACAUUUUGCCUCAACCCUGGAAUAAUGGAGAGUUGCUUCAAAGAUAACUUGGCCACAUUCCUCUUCUAAAUUUAGCCCUGGAUAAAGUUGCAGAUUAACACACCUGCUCGUUUUUCCUUGCCACGAAAUGUGAACCACCCGACCCUCUCCCCACCAAUGGAAAAACUACUUACUGACCUGAGCGCAGAGCCCCAGGUCUCCUGGAGUUUAGGGACUGAUACUAUUAACCCCUGUGAUACCACCCUGCUGCCUCACCAUCAGCCAGCCUGAGAACUGUGUACAACUGAUUCUGCACCCUGCGGACCACCCCCACCCUCCGAAACUGCCCGUUAAAAAUGCUUUGCCAAAACCCUUCAGGGAGCUCAGGGUUUUUCAGGGCAUAAGCCACCUUGUCUCUAGUCGCCUCGCAAUAAACCUUUCUCUGCUCCAAAAUCCAAAUAAAUAAAUAAAUCUCCCCCUGGCUUUAGCCACUUCUGGCAGGUGUCCUGUUACAUGCAGUCAAAAGUACGCCCAUGUGGACACCCUGAUAACUCAAGGUGAUUUUCAAGGCUGUUUGCAAUUGUUUGUAUUCUCUUUCUCUCUCUGGGCACAUGAUAAAAUCACAUUUCUCUACCUUCUUUAACAUAGGGAGUAAAUAUUUGGCUUGCUUCAUCCAAUGAUAUGUGAGGGGAAGUACUGUGUGUUAUUUCCAAGUAAAGGUUUGUAUGUGCCAGGAUGAUUCUCCACAUCCUCUUUCUCUGCCUGAGCCAUCAAGGAAAUAGAUAGAGCCUCCAUCAGCCUGAAUUCCCCAGUGACUAUGAUAAACAGUGUACAUGUGACAUGAGUAAGAAAUAAACUUGGUUGUGUUAAA